rnacentral:misc_RNA from 1 species
AACUUUCGGCAAUGGAUCUCUUGGUUCUGGCAUCGAUGAAGAACGCAGCGAAAUGCGAUAAGUAGUGUGAAUUGCAGAAUUCCGUGAGUCAUCGAAUCUUUGAACGCACAUUGCGCCCGCCAGUAUUCUGGCGGGCAUGCCUGUUCGAGCGUCAUUUCAACCCUCAGGCCCUGCCUGGCGUUGGAGGACUGCGCACCGCAGCCUCCCAAAGCAAGCGGCGGCGGCGCCCCAAGACCGAACGCAGUAGUUUUCUCUCGUUCUGGGCCUGGGACGUCGUCCUGCCGGAAAACCCCCAACUUUUACAUGGUUGACCUCGAAUCAGGUAGGAAUACCCGCUGAACUUAAGCAUAUCAAUAAGCGGAGGCU